UACAGCAGGUACUUGACGUUGGCGUUGGUACAGAUGAUGUGUGUCUGUGUGUAUAUACAGCAGGUACUUGAAGUUGGCGUUGGUACAGAUGAUGUGUGUCUGUGUGUGUAUACAGCAGGUACUUGAAGUUGGCGUUGGUACAGAUGAUGUGUGUCUGUGUGUGUAUACAGCAGGUACUUGACGUUGGUACAGAUGGUGUGUGUCUGUGUGUAUAUACAGCAGGUACUUGAAGUUGGUACAGAUGAUGUGUGUCUGUGUGUGUAUACAGCAGGUACUUGAAGUUGGCGUUGGUACAGAUGGUGUGUGUCUGUGUGUGUAUACAGCAGGUACUUGAAGUUGGUACAGAUGAUGUGUGUCUGUGUGUGUAUACAGCAGGUACUUGAAGUUGG